rnacentral:rRNA from 1 species
GGCUUAAUGAAUAAUAAUUUUAAGUCGAUCUGCCCAAUGAUUAAUAUUUAAUGGCUGCAGUAUAUCUGACUGUACAAAGGUAGCAUAAUCGAUUGUUUUUUAAUUGGAAACUGGAAUGAAAGAAUUAAUGAGAUAUAUACUGUCUCAUAUAUAUUUAAUGAAUUUAAAUUUUUAGUAAAAAUGCUUAAAUAGUUUUAUGGGACGAUAAGACCCUAUAGAAUUUUAUAUUAAUUAAUAGAUAAUAUAAUAAGUUAUUUUAUAAAUUAAUAUUUAGUUGGGAGGAUUGGUAAAUUAAUUUAACUUUAUUUUAUAUUUUAACUUUGAUUUAAGAAUUAAUAAUGUUCUUGUAUUAUAAAUUAAAAGAGUAAAUUACCUUAGGGAUAACAGCGUAAUAUCUUUUGAAAGAUCAUAUUAAUAAAGAUGUUUGCGACCUCGAUGUUGAAUUAAGAUAAAUUUUAAAUGCAGAAGUUUAAUAAUUAAGUCUGUUCGACUUUUAAAAUCUU